UAGCUCAAUUGGCAGAGCAGCUGAUUUGUAAUCAGCAGGUUGCGGGUUCAAGUCCCUUCACCAGCU
rnacentral:tRNA from 1 species